rnacentral:lncRNA from 1 species
GAUGACACCAGUGGGAGAGCAGUGGGAAGGAGAGAAGACCAUGCUAAAUAUUACUCUUGGAAAAGUACAUGUGCUGCAGAGAAAUCUUUAUUCAUAGGCCUAUAACAGGAAGGAGCAACAGCAUCUUCUGUGUGCCAAAGUAGCACAAUAAUGAACGCUGUUCAAGUGGAUCAAAAGUCAUCAAGUUCAAAAUUAGGCACGGAAAUUGAAGUCAAUAUGAUAUCACACAUUGCAUUUGAUGGAGCCAGAAAUGAAAUCUAGAUCUGCUGUAUUUCCACUGCCCUUGGCCAUUGUGCAUUAAGCUGUUUUACAUAUUAAGUGCCAUAGAGUUGAUAUCUGCUUUUGGGAAAGAAUACUUCAAAAUAAAACCAAAACACUUAAAUCUGGAAAGAUAAUAAUUUAAAGGAAGUCAUGCUUUAUCAAUGUUAAGAGGUAGGUGGGCAAAAUUUUGCUAUACUCUCAUACUCAUGAAUAUGUAUACAACUAUAUAUGUAAAGUAUAAGCAGUGGAGCUCUGGCACCCUCUCCUGACCCCAUGGAAAGUGAGUGCUUCUGCUGUUUCUUAUCCCUCUCUCUCUAUCUUGUUUUCACCUAGUCUUUCUCUAGUUCUUGCCUGAUCAGGUAGCCAUUGAUAAAAAUAGAGACUUCCUGUGAGCUUUAAAAUUUUUGAAUUUGCCUCUAUGUUGGAUAUUUUGAAUAUUUAAAUUUCUUAAAACUCCAUCCCAAUGGAAUAAACCCUUAAUAGUGAGAUAUGAGUUAGUAUGAUAUGUGAGGGGGACAUUUAGAUGUUUGGGGGUGCACUCCCUUUCAAAUUAUACCUAUCGAUCUUGACUUCCUUAAAAGGUGACAUUAUGAACACAUAAUAAAUAAUUAAAUUAAAUCCCAGAGACUUUGAGGAAAAGGGUUAUGGUGAAAAAUAUUUGUACAAAGUUAUAUUAGUCAUUAUUUACCAAAGUUCAAGUUGUCAUCCCUAUGACAAAAGAUAGGGCAAUUUCUCCUUAUUCUAUGGUGAAGUUGCAGAUACUGAGAAUAAUACAAUAAAAGCACUAUUUCAUUAAUGUCAUCUAUCAGUAUAGGCAGAACUGCACAUUAUUUUCUUUCAAUUCUGCUUUAAAAAAGGAAACUAGGUGUACAUACUUUGUUUUUUAAUACAAUAGCUGUAUACAGU